GUUAAAAGUUGUCAAUUAUUACAUAGGUGUUUAGUUAUUAUUGUCAAUUACUAUAUUAUCUCAUAUUUUGGGCAAUUAGUCACUAAAUAUAUCAUUAAUCAUACUUUAAAAAACCAUUUUAAAUAAUUAAUUAAAAUUUAAAAAAAUCCGAAACUAAUUUUUGCAGAAAAUAAAAAAAAAAACCCCAAAAAAAUUAAACUACUACCACUCCUCCUCCUCUUUAAGCUUCGUACUAUUAUCACCGUCACUCUUCACCAAAAACUCCUUGCUGCCAACAUCCAUUUUAGCAGCAGUGGCAGAAGAGGAAGACAUCGAAUGCGAAUCCCCCUCUUUCUUAACCACCACCGCUGUUUCCACCUUCGGCUCAACCUUCAGCCUAUAAUCUUUCAUCAACUUCGACUAAAACCUAGCGGGUUUCGGCGCGAACCUUGACGGUUUCGGUGGCGGCGCUUGAAAUGGAUCAUCUAGAUCAUCAAAGUCUGUUAUUCUCUCUCUUUUGAAAAAAAAUCAGAAGCUUCAACAAUGGCGGUAACCUGAAAAUGGUUUAUUUGCAGGGGUUUGGAUUUAGGCUUAAUGAAGUUAUAUUUUCUUUCGCAUCGGUAGAUUGAUUGAGAAAUUUUUUUGGGAGUUUAAUUUUUUUUUGGUAACUUUGGAUUUUUCUAACUUAAUUAUUUUGAAUUUUUUUUGUUAAUUUAUUUAAUCAAUUAGUUAAACUAUAAUUAACGAUGAAUUAUGAUAUAGUGACUAAUUGGCUUGAAUCAUAACACUUAUAAAGGCUUGAACAUGAGUUACUAUUCCUGUAACAUUUAAAUGACUAUAAUGCCCUUUGUUCUUCUUUGUUUCACGCGGUUUGCCCUUCUCUCCAGAUCAUGCCACGUUGCUUUUACUCGGUUCCUUUCAGCUGAUUUCGCCCCGCCUUCCUCUUCCAUCACCUAAAUUGCUAUGGUUUCUUCGCCCUUCUUCCUCUUCGAUGAGCCUUCUCUGGUUUUUUCGCCCACUCUCCUCAUCUCUCUCAUGGCGCUGCUUCUUCUUUGUCUGUCUCUCCUCUCCCAUCUUUCUCUCCCCUUUAUUGCUCUACUUUUCUCUGCUACAUCAUUUCGCCCAGCAGCACCUCUCUGUCCUCGUACCAUGAUAUGCCUUAUUUUUCUGCGUCUCUUAUCUCGCUUCUUUCCAAUUGAUCGUGUUAUAGAAAUUCUGUUUUAGCGUCUCAUUCACGUAAAACUGGAAAUCAGUCUUCAAUCUUCAAUUAAAGGUAAAUUGUUCUUCCCAUCCUCUCUCUGGAAAGAACAACAAGUAGAAAUGCGGAAAUGAUGUUUCAAUUGUGCAAAAUUCAUCAUCUUUUAUUCUGAAUUUCCGCAAAUUGAGGUUCAAUUUAAUUGGUUCUCAUUGUUUUCUCAUACUUACUGUUAUCUCAAGCUGAGCUUUGUGCAAUAUUAUUGCUUGGAUUUUUAUCACUCUAAAAGUUAACUUUUUUUAUCAAUGUAUGAUAAUUUGAGUUUUUUAUUUUGAAUUUGAAGAACAAUGCAAUUCCCACUUUCCACGGGGAACUUACUGUUAUUUGACAGUCGUGUUACAAGCAAUCUGACAAAAUUUUGUAGAUUGCUCUCUUCUUGCUUACUGCUCGUUCGUCUAUCACGAGAUCAUCAGCGAUCACUUUCACGGUCACCUAUUAUUCACUCCUCAAAACGGGUAUGAAAGACAUUCCAUUUGAUUCUACGUUUCUUAUUUAGUUUAUGUUUGUAUCGGUAAUCUUAGAUAAAAAAAUAUGAUGCUGAGAUUUUUUUGCUAGGGUAAUGUGAUAUCUUUUGUAUUUGCUCACAAUUUAUUUUAUCAUGUCUUAGAUGCUUUUUGGAUUGGGGAUGUAAUUUAUCUUUCUUGAAUGGUUAGUCCAUUGACUAAGUUGCUCUAAGUCAUGUUUGCCAAUGUUUAGGCUUGGAUCAACUCAGUGCUUGUCAAAUUGCAUUGCCUACUCACUUUCACAGGCAUUUUUCUUUUCUAUUGUAUGUAUGCAAAAUGGCUAAUUUUAGUUAAAAUUGUGCUUUGCAGAGGUAAACAAAGAUAGUUCUGGAUGAGAAUCAGUUCCUGGUAAACAUUCUACGGACGUUACUCCAAGAGUUGGUGGAUCCUCUAUUGGUUGGAUGUGAUACCAGAAACAUGAAUGCUGAGACACUGAAAAUCUUUUGCAACACGAAGGUGAUUACCAAGGGAAGAAAGGUUCAUGCCUAAAUUCUUGCCAGUAGAUAAUCCUACUAAUCCAAGAAUAUCCUUAGCAUUUUCUGGUCUGUUCUGCUGUAACAGUACACCACUACAGCUUACUCCGAAAUUUCUUGUUCCCGAUGCCUCAUGCUCUUCAUAAUGCAUGCAGUGAACAAGGUAAACAAAUUUAGUGUGUUCGGUCGUUUUUUCCUUUGACAUCAUCUCCUUCCCUUGAGGAGAGGAGCUACGCAAACCUGUCUCCAAUUUUCCUGUCAAAUAAAUCUAUUAUGCUUGGAGGUUGUAUUAUCGGUCCUGCUCGGAUUUUAAAGGAGCAUAUGUUUCAUGUGAUUAACUAUGGAAUAAGGUAACUUUGUUGGCUUUUCUUUGUCAAGAUCUAUCAACUAUGGUUCAAGGAUUAAUUUGUCCAUAACCUUUUUUCUUCUUUAAGGGAUGUGUUAUACAGAUUCAUCUUUUAUGGGUACACCUAACGUAUUUCGAUCUAUUCCUCACUUUUCAACCUCUCUCUUUCCAAAGGGAACUCGAACACAAAGGGAUGAAUAUGUAUACUCAAUUUUGAGCCAGAGCUUCCCUCUAACAAUGCAAGCCCCCCAAGAAUCGAAGCAUUUGAUUCUUCAAGGUUCCCUGAAAGACCGCCACCAAAGCUAGCUCCAGCCAGUAGAAGUGGAUCAAAAGUGUCACAUGGAAAGACCCAACGUUCAACCUUAACCUCAACGAAGAUGACAAAUCAUAACAGUGGCCUCUCACGGAAACAACCAUUAGAGAAGACCUCUUGGAAUGUUGUUGGACCUUAAGAAGAUAACGAUUUCUCCUGCGUUGUCAGGAAAACUCGGACCAAUGCUCGUUACUCAAGUGGAUUAUCAGAUGAUGUUGUCUCACUUGACGGGAUUGGAUGAACCAUAUUUGUUUGUCUCAUUGUCUUCAAAAUCUUGACCUCAUACCCAGGUCUCAAUUCUUGUAGCAUUGUCGAUACAUGCUACCUAUAGGCAUUAUUAUUGUAGAGCAUAAUACAAGGCGUGUCUGACUGUUAGGACGGUGCUAAGUUGCUAACUGAUUUGAUAGUCAUACUUUUUGAAUAACCUCCUAAAAAAAUUAGUUAUCCCUCAGUUAUUAAUUGAGAAGCCCAAAGCGUUUCUGGAGCUUAGGAAGUAUUUUUAAUGCUUUAUUGUAUUCGAUUAAUGUCAAAUGAAUUGUCUUUAACUCUAUAUUAACUAGUCUUAUAUGCACGCUAUGCGUGCUGUAUUAUGGAUGGUUGACCUUUACUACUCUUUGAUUUUAGGUGUUUUGUUAA